CUAGACUUUGCCUUUCCACACCCACAGUGAUACAAGAUAUAGUUAUAAAGAAAUCCUCAAUACACACUGUUUUCUGCUGAUGAUUGUGAAGUACUCUGCAAGCCCCAUACCAUUGUUUCUCCACUGCCAACCAAAUGAAUUAGAAUUUGCUGAAGAGAAGCCUAAAAAUUGGUGUUCCAGAAAUAUUUGCUGAAAGAAUGAAGUAAGGAAUAAAUGGGUAAAUGAGGAAGACCCCUUGGGAUAUGUCUCUCAGCUAUAUGUAUGGUCACAGUGGCAAGCUCUUCAAUGAGUGAGGGAUAAAGCAAAUGUGACACAAAGCAACUGAU